rnacentral:RNase_P_RNA from 1 species
UAUUUUAGGUAAUCGCUAUAUUUUUAUAAUAUAGAGGAAAGUCCAUGCUCACACAAUCUGAGAUGAUUGUAGUGUUCGUGCUUGAUGAAACAAUAAGUCAAGGCAAUUUUAAAUUGACGGCAAUGAACAAACCUAAGUCUUAUGAUAUGGUUUUAGUAGUUAUAAAGUGCCACAGUGACGUAGCUUUUAUAUAAAUAUAAAAGGUGGAACGCGGUAAACCCCUCGAGUGAGUAAUCCAAAUUUGGUAGGAGCACUUGUCUGACGGAAUUCAACGUACAGACGAGGAAAAGUAUUAAUAAUACUUUUCAGACAGAUGAUUACCCCCGAUGUACCAGUGUAGCUAGCGCACAUCUCAGUACAUCAGGACAGAACAUGGCUUAUAGAA